GCAGGUGGGGACAGUAAAAUCUAGCAGCACUCUAAUUUUAGCAUGUAUCUUUAAUUGUUCAACACAUGACAUAUGACCUCAUAAAUGACUCGCAGGCAUUUGGAGAGUCAACAAAACCAGGAACUUAUUGAAGGGGAAAAAAUGGACCCAGUGCUUUAUGACAACACAUGAAAACAGCAGCCAUUAAAAAAAUAAAAAGCAGCACACACAGACUUUAAUUCUCUGCAUGUCCUGUUUACUUAAAGAAUUCAGAAUGUUUUGACCUUGCUGGUAUUAAUAAACAGCAGAUGGAAGUCCCCUUGUCCACAAAAAACCCUCUGGAAAUGAACUGCAAUGAGAUGAUCUGGCAUGGACGGGGACAGAAAGAGAGAGAGAGACGUUCAUGUCUAUUUUUGGCAUGACAUGAUGUGGAUUGCAUCAGUUCUAUUAGAUAAGCACAGCCGUGUGGACUGCACACAAACUAUCUUCAUCUUAUCUCCCGUGGUCUUCAUCUCUUUCAGAAGCCAGAAGAGAAAAGAUGAGAUGUGACGAGAAGCAGAAAGAAGAGGAAAACCGACGGUGAGAGAAAAGAGAGAGAGUGAUUAAAGGACUCUCGCACAGUGACUGGCCUCAGAAAUGACUGGCACAAUUGGCAAAAAGCAGACGAGGACCAACUUCAGCCGACGGUGCGGAACACACUGAGAAAACUUAGUCGGCAGUCGAAGAAAAACUGCCCGACGGCCGACCGUCGACUUGGUGUGUUCCUGCCUUUAGGUUUCAACACACACAAAAAGAGAAAAAAAAUGUAAAUAAAUAAUGUAAAUUGUUAUAUACUGUAGUAUUAUUAUUUAUUUAUAGCUCCUUAUUAAUCUUAGAUACAAUUCUUGAAUAUUACUUAGAUAUUUAAAUCUAAGGC